GUGCUUGUGUCAGCAGCACACAUACUAAUAUUGGAACAAUACAGAGAGGAUUAACAUGGCCCCUGAGCAAGGAUGACAUGGAAAUUCAUGAAGCUUUCCAUGUUUUU